rnacentral:rRNA from 1 species
CCACAUCACGAAAGUGGAUUGUACUAGAAGUCUGCACGCUGACCCGCAAGGGAGGCAGCGGCCCAAGGUAUGAUCAUGAUUGGGGUG